AUAACAUUCGGACCGUCAGUCUAUCGAGCAAUAUCAUCCGUUCGACAGAAGAUCUUCCCUAGGUCGU
rnacentral:pre_miRNA from 1 species